GAUUGCCCUAGUAACGGCGAGUGAAGCGGCAACAGCUCAAAUUUGAAAUCUGGCUCUUUUAGGGUCCGAGUUGUAAUUUGCAGAGGGCGCUUUGGCGUUGGCAGCGGUCCAAGUUCUUUGGAACAGGACGUCACAGAGGGUGAGAAUCCCGUACGUGGUCGCUAUCCUUCGCCGUGUAAAGCCCCUUCGACGAGUCGAGUUGUUUGGGAAUGCAGCUCUAAAUGGGAGGUAAAUUUCUUCUAAAGCUAAAUACUGGCCAGAGACCGAUAGCGCACAAGUAGAGUGAUCGAAAGAUGAAAAGCACUUUGGAAAGAGAGUCAAAUAGCACGUGAAAUUGUUGAAAGGGAAGCGCUUGCAGCCAGACUUGCCUGUAGUUGCUUAUCCGGACUUUUGUCCGGUGCACUCUUCUGCGGGCAGGCCAGCAUCAGUUUGGGCGGUUAGAUAAAGGUCUCUGUCAUGUACCUCUCUUCGGGGAGGCCUUAUAGGGGAGACGACAUGUAACCAGCCUGGACUGAGGUCCGCGCAUCUGCUAGGAUGCUGGCGUAAUGGCUGUAAGCGGCCCGUCUUGAAACACGGACCAAGGAGUCUAACAUCUAUGCGAGUGUUUGGGUGUCAAGCCCAGACGCGUAAUGAAAGUGAACGGAGGUAGGAACCCUUUGGGUGCACUAUCGACCGAUCCUGAUGUCUUCGGAAGGAUUUGAGUAAGAGCAUGGCUGUUGGGACCCGAAAGAUGGUGAACUAUGCUUGAAUAGGGUGAAGCCAGAGGAAACUCUGGUGGAGGCUCGCAGCGGUUCUGACGUGCAAAUCGAUCGUCAAAUUUGGGCAUAGGGGCGAAAGACUAAUCGAAC
rnacentral:rRNA from 1 species